rnacentral:rRNA from 1 species
CUAACCGUGCGAAGGUAGCACAAUCACUUGUUCUUUAAAUCAGGACUAGUAUGAACGGCCUCACGAGGGCUAUACUGUCUCCCCCCUUUAAUCAGUGAAACUGAUCUCCCCGUGAAGUACCAAGAUAAGACGAGAAGACCCCAUGGAACUUUAAACUUGUACCACUGCCCAUUACACACCACAUCAACCAGGGCAAUCAUGACUACCAGUCUUUCGGCUGGGGCGACCACGGAGAAAAAUAAAACCUCCACGAUGAAAGGGGUACCUACCCCCCCC